GAUGAAGAACGCAGCGAAAUGCGAUAAGUAAUGUGAAUUGCAGAAUUCAGUGAAUCAUCGAAUCUUUGAACGCACAUUGCGCCCCCUGGUAUUCCGGGGGGCAUGCCUGUUCGAGCGUCAUUUCACCACUCAAGCCUCGCUUGGUAUUGGGCAACGCGGUCCGCCGCGUGCCUCAAAUCGACCGGCUGGGUCUUCUGUCCCCUAAGCGUUGUGGAAACUUUCGCUAAAGGGUGUUCGGGAGGCUACGCCGUAAAACAACCCCAUUUCUAAGGUUGACCUCGGAUCAGGUAGGGAUACCCGCUGAACUUAAGCAUAUCAAAAGCGGAGGA
rnacentral:misc_RNA from 1 species